GUCGAGCGGUAAGGCCCAUUCGGGGUACACGAGCGGCGAACGGGUGAGUAACACGUGGGUGAUCUGCCCUGUACUUCGGGAUAAGCCUGGGAAACUGGGUCUAAUACCGGAUAUGACCUGAGGAUGCAUGUUCUCGGGUGGAAAGAUUUAUCGGUACAGGAUGGGCCCGCGGCCUAUCAGCUUGUUGGUGGGGUAAUGGCCUACCAAGGCGACGACGGGUAGCCGACCUGAGAGGGUGACCGGCCACACUGGGACUGAGACACGGCCCAGACUCCUACGGGAGGCAGCAGUGGGGAAUAUUGCACAAUGGGCGAAAGCCUGAUGCAGCGACGCCGCGUGAGGGAUGACGGCCUUCGGGUUGUAAACCUCUUUCGACAGGGACGAAGCGCAAGUGACGGUACCUGUAGAAGAAGCACCGGCCAACUACGUGCCAGCAGCCGCGGUAAUACGUAGGGUGCGAGCGUUGUCCGGAAUUACUGGGCGUAAAGAGCUUGUAGGCGGUUUGUCGCGUCGUUUGUGAAAACUUGGGGCUCAACCCCAAGCUUGCAGGCGAUACGGGCAGACUAGAGUACUUCAGGGGAGACUGGAAUUCCUGGUGUAGCGGUGAAAUGCGCAGAUAUCAGGAGGAACACCGGUGGCGAAGGCGGGUCUCUGGGAAGUAACUGACGCUGAGAAGCGAAAGCGUGGGUAGCGAACAGGAUUA
rnacentral:rRNA from 1 species